ensembl:lncRNA
UUAGGAUUGACAGCUAUUUUACUUCUUUCCAUUUGUCUGUGAAUUAGGUCUGGAAUAGGAAGAACAGCCAAGGGAUUACUAUGGCCUCAUUGUGCAUGAUGAAUGAACAAGGAAGCCAUUAUCAGUAAGGGUGUGUCAAAGAAAGACUUGUGCUGACACCGAGCUGCCAAGUGUGGAAAUGGAAAUAGUUAUCAUUAAAACUGAAUCUGUAUGAAGAUGUGAAAUAACUGAAGCUUCAGUGACUGCUCAUGAGUUCUUUCUGACCUGCUGAGAUGUCUGAGUUGUGCACGCUCACCACACAAGGAUGCUCUCACGGAUGCUCUGGAUCUCCUAUCAGCAUAGUGAGUGAGAAAGCUCAGUAGUGUCCGACUCUUUGCGACCCCAUGGACUGAAGUCUACCAGGCUCCAUGGAAUUUUCCAGGAACCCCUUUAUUGAAAACUGAACCAGACUCAGAAAUUGACAGAAACUUCUUGAUGAGAUACGUGGAAAUUCUAAAAUACAG